rnacentral:rRNA from 1 species
GGUGCGGACGGCUACCAUGCAAGUCGAACGGUAGCACAGAGAGCUUGCUCUCGGGUGACGAGUGGCGGACGGGUGAGUAAUGUCUGGGAAACUGCCUGAUGGAGGGGGAUAACUACUGGAAACGGUAGCUAAUACCGCAUAACGUCGCAAGACCAAAGAGGGGGACCUUCGGGCCUCUUGCCAUCAGAUGUGCCCAGAUGGGAUUAGCUAGUAGGUGGGGUAACGGCUCACCUAGGCGACGAUCCCUAGCUGGUCUGAGAGGAUGACCAGCCACACUGGAACUGAGACACGGUCCAGACUCCUACGGGAGGCAGCAGUGGGGAAUAUUGCACAAUGGGCGCAAGCCUGAUGCAGCCAUGCCGCGUGUAUGAAGAAGGCCUUCGGGUUGUAAAGUACUUUCAGCGGGGAGGAAGGUGUUGUGGUUAAUAACCGCAGCAAUUGACGUUACCCGCAGAAGAAGCACCGGCUAACUCCGUGCCAGCAGCCGCGGUAAUACGGAGGGUGCAAGCGUUAAUCGGAAUUACUGGGCGUAAAGCGCACGCAGGCGGUCUGUCAAGUCGGAUGUGAAAUCCCCGGGCUCAACCUGGGAACUGCAUUCGAAACUGGCAGGCUGGAGUCUUGUAGAGGGGGGUAGAAUUCCAGGUGUAGCGGUGAAAUGCGUAGAGAUCUGGAGGAAUACCGGUGGCGAAGGCGGCCCCCUGGACAAAGACUGACGCUCAGGUGCGAAAGCGUGGGGAGCAAACAGGAUUAGAUACCCCUGGUAGUCCACGCCGUAAACGAUGUCGAUUUGGAGGUUGUGCCCUUGAGGCGUGGCUUCCGGAGCUAACGCGUUAAAUCGACCGCCUGGGGGAGUACGGCCGCAAGGUUAAAACUCAAAUGAAUUGACGGGGGCCCGCACAAGCGGUGGAGCAUGUGGUUUAAUUCGAUGCAACGCGAAGAACCUUACCUGGUCUUGACAUCCACAGAACUUUCCAGAGAUGGAUUGGUGCCUUCGGGAACUGUGAGACAGGUGCUGCAUGGCUGUCGUCAGCUCGUGUUGUGAAAUGUUGGGUUAAGUCCCGCAACGAGCGCAACCCUUAUCCUUUGUUGCCAGCGGUUAGGCCGGGAACUCAAAGGAGACUGCCAGUGAUAAACUGGAGGAAGGUGGGGAUGACGUCAAGUCAUCAUGGCCCUUACGACCAGGGCUACACACGUGCUACAAUGGCGCAUACAAAGAGAAGCGACCUCGCGAGAGCAAGCGGACCUCAUAAAGUGCGUCGUAGUCCGGAUUGGAGUCUGCAACUCGACUCCAUGAAGUCGGAAUCGCUAGUAAUCGUAGAUCAGAAUGCUACGGUGAAUACGUUCCCGGGCCUUGUACACACCGCCCGUCACACCAUGGGAGUGGGUUGCAAAAGAAGUAGGUAGCUUAACCUUCGGGAGGGCGCUUACCACUUUGUGAUUCAUGACUGGGGGAAGUCGAACAAGUACAUGG